rfam:Pseudomassariella vexata strain CBS 129021 BCR38scaffold_20, whole genome shotgun sequence.
UCUCGAUUAGUAUAGUGGUCAGUAUACGGGCUUGUCAUUUGACAUGUACGCCCGGGACCCGGGUUCAAUUCCCGGAUCGAGAG